rnacentral:misc_RNA from 1 species
GAUGAAGAACGCAGCGAAAUGCGAUAAGUAAUGUGAAUUGCAGAAUUCCGUGAAUCAUCGAAUCUUUGAACGCACAUUGCGCCCCUUGGUAUUCCAUGGGGCAUGCCUGUUCGAGCGUCAUUUGUACCUUCAAGCUCUGCUUGGUGUUGGGUGUUUGUCUCGCCUCUGCGUGUAGACUCGCCUCAAAAUAAUUGGCAGCCGGCGUAUUGAUUUCGGAGCGCAGUACAUCUCGCGCUUUGCACUCAUAACGACGACGUCCAAAAGUACAUUUUUACACUCUUGACCUCGGAUCAGGUAGGGAUACCCGCUGAACUUAAGCAUAUCAAUAAGCGGAGGA